rnacentral:rRNA from 1 species
UACGUAGGGUGCAAGCGUUGUCCGGAAUUAUUGGGCGUAAAGAGCUCGUAGGCGGUCUGUUGCGUCCGCUGUGAAAACUCGGGGCUUAACCCCGAGCCUGCAGUGGAUACGGGCAGACUAGAGGUAGGUAGGGGAGAAUGGAAUUCCCGGUGUAGCGGUGAAAUGCGCAGAUAUCAGGAGGAACACCGGUGGCGAAGGCGGGUCUCUGGGCCGAUAUUGACGCUGAGGAGCGAAAGCGUGGGGAGCGAACAGG